GUCGGCUAGAGGGGCUGUGAUUGUGCUCAGCAGUCGUCGUUCUCUCCCCAUGACGAAGCCUGUGCCGCGUCCCCACCGUCACCAGGGUUUGAGCUGGCCUGUUUUCCCAUGGAAAAGGAGGUUUGAGAGUCCAUCUGGGGUCUGUGUCCUGGGGCAACCGGAGUAGGGGACCCCGGGGACACCGGGGCACCCUGGCCCACUCGGAUGUCGGCCAUGGGCCUGGCCGGAGCCCUUUCAUUCCUCAAGCAUUCAGGAGGACCCAGCAGGUGCAGGCGCUUCUCCAGGGGCUGCCUGUGGCCCCACACACAGAGCGGAUGGCCCCCCAGGGCUCCGGGCUAGUCAAGGGUCAGAGGGUGACAGCAGCUAUGAGGAGAGGUCGGGUCCACAGGAACUUUCAUGUGAUGCCCCCCCUGCCCUCCUCUAGAUAUGGAUGCAACAAAUAUCUGAAUGAUGACAUCGUGGGAUCCGUGGAGCAGUGCAAAGUGUGAGUGAGCUCUGGCUCAUGCAGGAGGGCCUUCCUCUCCAAGAGGGCAGCGAGGGGGCUGUGGCCUGGAGGGGCUGCUGGACCCUCACCCCACACAUCUGCAAUUCCUGUGACAAGGGCCAUCUCCUUCAUCCUGGACAUCUGGCUGGAGUACUAUCAGGAGGAUUUUCAUCAGCCACCAGAAUUUCUCUUCCUGAGGAAGCUUCUGGCAUUCAUGGGGCUCAACAUGCCAGGCUCAGACCUGGAAAACUGGGCCCAGCGUUACCUGGAAUGAUUCAGCUACCUGGAGCUCGUGGAAUUAGACGAUGAGGAUGAGGAGGACUGGGGUGGCCAAGCUUGGGACAGGGUGGGCCACACAGACCCAACCUCCAUGCAGGUGGGCCGGGAGCAGUGGGUAGGCUCACACCCCAUUCCCACGGGCUUCAGUCUGGGGAGACCUCCCAGGGCUCUUGUACUCACACACGUUGAGCAGUGGGAAGAGUGUCCUUGAUUUGUGAGGGACGUGGAAAGUCCGUCCUGGUGAUGAUACUUUGUCUUCUUGGGGCUACAGCUUCGGCCCCGGAGCAACACCCUAACCCACCUCAGGAGCCCACCCCAGCUCCGACUGUGGGCCUGUGGCACCUUCAGGGCCUGAGGUGACCGAGCCGGUCCUGGCUGCUGGAGGUGAGGGCUUGGCCCAAGCUGAGAUGCUGGCUACUGAGUCCAAGUCAAUGCACAUGGUUUUGGCACCUAUGAUUCCCCACCCUGAUGAGGAGCCACCUGCACCCUUGGUCACCCGGUGGAAGAGUAGGCCCUGGAGCCUGCAGUCGGGGUCCCCAAAGUGCCAGGGCCACCACCUGCCUCUGGAGCAACUGGCUUCGACCCCUGAACAACCCCCUGAACCACCUCAGGAGCCACCCCAGCUCCUACCACGGGGCUCGUGAUGGCUGCAGCCCAAUGGAGGCUUCCCUCCUCGUCAUUGUGCUGUUUCCAUAUUUUGUUUUUCUUUAACCUCUAUAAUGGCUUAUGAAUUUUAUUUGUAAUAAAAGAGGGAUCCCUAGGUGGCGCA
rnacentral:lncRNA from 1 species